CCUUCCAUCCAAAAGAACUGUGUUUAAAUUACAGACUCCAGGUCCUCCUGGUUUGUGUAAUCAUGCUAGCAGAGUGAAAGCAUGGAAGAAGACUAAUGUGCCCUGCUUCCGAAAAUGAAACCCGGUCGGACCUCUUUCUUAAUGUCCUGUGGCCUUUGUUUCAAGGUUCAGUGCAACAGUU